AACGAACGCUGGCGGCAGGCUUAACACAUGCAAGUCGAACGGGCGCUUAUUUCCCAGCGAUGGGGAUGGGCGUCAGUGGCAGACGGGUGAGUAACGCGUGGGAACAUACCCUUUGGUUCGGAAUAACUUGAGGAAACUUGAGCUAAUGCCGGAUACGCCCUUAGACGAGAGUCUGGGGGGAAAGAUUCAUUGCCGGAGGAAUGGCCCGCGUUCGAUUAGCUGGUUGGUGGGGUAACGGCUCACCAAGGCGACGAUCGAUAGCUGGUCUGA
rnacentral:rRNA from 1 species